UACUCGAGUGGCGAACGGGUGAGUAACACGUGGGUGAUCUGCCCUGCACUUCGGGAUAAGCUUGGGAAACUGGGUCUAAUACCGGAUAGGACCGCACUUUAGUGUGUGUGGUGGAAAGUUUUUUAGGUGUAGGAUGAGCUCGCGGCCUAUCAGCUUGUUGGUGGGGUAAUGGCCUACCAAGGCGGCGACGGGUAGCCGGCCUGAGAGGGUGUACGGCCACAUUGGGACUGAGAUACGGCCCAG
rnacentral:rRNA from 1 species